UAUGAGAUUUGGGGUUAAUGUGGUAAGGUUAUUAGUGGAGGGGUGUGAGUGUGAUUGGUGUUGGUGCUAGUAAAAAUAGGUGGGGGUGGUGUGUAGAGAAGUAAAAAAUUCUUUUUUUUCUUUUUCUCUCUCUCUGCUCUCCCGGCCGACUCUCUCUCUCUCUCUCUCUCACCUCUCCUCCAAACUUCUCUCUCUGAUUUCAUCGUCUUAGAAUGAGAUUUCGGAAAAAUCCCAAGUACUAAAGUUGUUCUACGCGAUGAGAUCUUCCUAUCGAUCCAAGAAGAAUCAUGAUCGGAGCACUUUGAGGUUUCCUCCAUGUUCGGGCUUGCUUCUAACCUUCGAGGUACUCGCCAUGGCAUUUAGCUUGGAUUGCAUGGAGUGCACAUUGAAACGUCUCUUGAGAGCUUCAUUGGAAACAUUAAGGAGGUGUUUAU